GAUGAACGCUAGCGAUAGGCCUAACACAUGCAAGUCGAGGGGCAGCAUAGAGUAGCAAUACUUUGAUGGCGACCGGCGCACGGGUGAGUAACACGUAUGCAACCUACCUACAUCAGGGGAAUAACCCGGAGAAAUUCGGACUAAUACCGCAUAAUACAGGGAUGCCGCAUGGCAAUAUUUGUUAAAGAUUUAUCGGAUGUAGAUGGGCAUGCGUUCCAUUAGCUAGUUGGUAAGGUAACGGCUUACCAAGGCAACGAUGGAUAGGGGAACUGAGAGGUUUGUCCCCCACACUGGAACUGAGACACGGACCAGACUCCUACGGGAGGCAGCAGUGAGGAAUAUUGGUCAAUGGACGAGAGUCUGAACCAGCCAAAUCGCGUGAAGGAAGACUGCCCUACGGGUUGUAAACUUCUUUUGUACAGGAAUAAAAGACAAUACGUGUAAUGUAUUGCAUGUACUGUACGAAUAAGCAUCGGCUAACUCCGUGCCAGCAGCCGCAGUAA
rnacentral:rRNA from 1 species